rnacentral:rRNA from 1 species
GUUAAAAAGCUCGUAGUUGGAUUUUGGUUAAGAGGGCGCGGUCGGCCGUUUGGUCUGUACUGCGUUGUCUUGACUUCCUGAUGAGGACAUACUCUUGGUUAACGCUGAGACAUGGAGUCAUCGUGGUUACUUUGAAAAAAUUAGAGUGUUCAAAGCGGGCUUACGCUUGAAUAUAUUAGCAUGGAAUAACACUAUAGGACUCCUGUCCUAUCUCGUUGGUCUCGGGAUGGGAGUAAUGAUUAAGAGGAACAGUUGGGGGCAUUCGUAUUUCAUUGUCAGAGGUGAAAUUCUUGGAUUUAUGAAAGACGAACUUCUGCGAAAGCAUUUGCCAAGGAUGUUUUCAUUAAUCAAGAACGAAAGUUGGGGGCUCGAAGAUGAUUAGAUACCAUCCUAGUCUCAACCAUAAACGAUGCCGACUAGGGAUUGGUGGAUGUUAAUUGAUGACUUCACCAGCACCUUAUGAGACAUCAAAGUUUUUGGGUUCCGGGGGGAGUAUGGUCGCAAAGCUGAAACUUAAA